CGCCUAAAACCUAGCUUUAAAAACUCAUAUGUAACUCCUUUAACUCUUUGACACCAAUAAAACAUUUUUCAUUACUUAGUAGAGGCGAUCAAAAAAUAUCUUAAAGCUACAAAAAUAGUACCGCAAGGGAAAGGUGAAAUAGAAAUGAAACAAUUUUUAAGCUAUAAGAAGCAGAGCUUUAAUCUCGUACCUUUUGCAUCAUGGUUUAGCUAGUCUAACCAAGCAAAACGCAUUUUAAGUUUGACCCCCCGAAAUUAAGCGAGCUACUUCAAAACAGCCUUUUAGGGCAAACCCGUCUCUGUUGCAAAAGAGUGGGAAGAUUUUCAAGUAGGGGUGAUAAACCUACCGAGCUUAAAGAUAGCUGGUUAUUCAGGAAAAGGAUUUUAGUCCUACCUUAAGUUUUUUUAUAACUUCUAAUAUUUAUUAUAAACUUAAGAGCUAUUCAAAUAAGGUACAGCCUAUUUGAAUUAGGGUACAACCUCCUACGACG
rnacentral:rRNA from 1 species